rnacentral:rRNA from 1 species
UACGUAGGGAGCAAGCGUUGUCCGGAAUUAUUGGGCGUAAAGCGCGCGCAGGUGGUUUCUUAAGUCUGAUGUGAAAGCCCACGGCUCAACCGUGGAGGGUCAUUGGAAACUGGGGAACUUGAGUGCAGGAGAGAAGAGUGGAAUUCCACGUGUAGCGGUGAAAUGCGUAGAGAUGUGGAGGAACACCAGUGGCGAAGGCGACUCUUUGGCCUGUAACUGACACUGAGGCGCGAAAGCGUGGGGAGCAAACAGG